rnacentral:tRNA from 1 species
GCCACCGUAGCUCAAUUGGUAGAGCACUUGAUUUGUAAUCAUGAGGUUGUCGGUUCGAUUCCGAUCGGUGGCU